rnacentral:tRNA from 1 species
AGUCCGGUGCCUGAUGAAAAGGAUUAUCUUGAUAGGGUAAAUAAUGUGUUAUUCACUCGGGCUA